GCUAUGUAAAUAUUAUUGGAUUUUUUAAAAGUCAGCAAGUAUUUAAAAAUGAUUUAAAGGCAUUAAAAACCCAAGUAAUUCAUAAAAAAUAUCAAAUGAAGUCACAAAAAUAAUUAAAAAUCAUAAUAUGAAACAAGAUUUUUCAAGAAAAAUUUUGGAAUUGGUCUCAUAUUUUUCUGACUUCAAAUGAAUUUUUGAUGAAUUUUUG
rnacentral:lncRNA from 1 species